rnacentral:lncRNA from 1 species
GUAUGUCUUGAGAUCUAGUACAAAGAUUCUGGGACAAGAAUAUUCGUGCUUUGUUUAGGGAACAGCAAGAGAAGUCACAGUUACUGGAGCAGAGUGACAGAUAAAGGGAGAGGUAAGAAAACAGGUAUAAAGGGAGUGAGAGACCAGCCCAUGUUGAUUGAAUGUGUGGAUAUAGAUCUCACAGAUGUGGAGGGCUGGCUGUGUACACACACAGGGAGAAGACUGUAUGAAGAUACCAGCAAAAGGCAGCCAUCUACAAGCCAAAGAGAGAAGCCUUGGGAUGAACUAAUCCUGCUGAAAUCAUGACCUUGCAUAUUUUGCCUCUAGAAUUGUGAGAAAAUAAAGUUCUGUGCUUUAAGGCACCCUGUCUGUGGUCCCUUGUUAUGGUAGCUUAAGCAAAUAUAUAGGAAAAGUUUGGAGUCUCCUAAAGACUCCCAAAUAUGUUCAGUAAGCUAUCUUCAUAAGAAUUAUAAUAUAUACAUCAUCAUGAAAUAGAUGACAGAUGAGAAAUCAAUCAGAUAAGAACAUUAAGAGUGCUUACUGUGUACCAGGAAAUAUUCUGUGAGUUGGGAAUAAGACAAUGUCCAAGACAGAUUGAAUGCAUGAAUCUUAUUUCCUGGUGCUUGAAUUCUCACUUAAAAAAAACAACAACAGGAUAAAAAGUGAUACGUUGGAAGUGAAUAGUCCACUUCAUUCAUAUUGGGCAUUUAGAAAAAGCCUCUCUGAACAGUAAUUUUUGUGCUGAGAACUAAAUGACAAAAAUAUGUCAACCAUGCAAAUUGGGGGUGGCGUGGGCUAAAAGUUUCAGGCAGAAGAGACAGCCUGUAUAAAGGUACAGAAAUAAAAUUGAGCUUGGCUUGUCCAAGGGACAGACAGAACAUAUUAUUUCUGGAGUAUCUUUAGUGAGGAGUGAAUUUUAUGUGAUGUGAUAUCAGAGGUAGACAAGUGUCAAGAGAGUGUGGGCCAUGGUGAGGAGCUUGGAUUUUAUUCUAAGUGGGUUGAAAAGCAGGUGGGCAGUAUGUUCCAUUUUUCAUUAUAAAAGAUCAUUUGGGCAGCUGUGUGGUAACUGAUGAAAGUGUGUGGGAAUGGAGGCAGGGAAAAAGUGAAGAGGUUAUUGUGGAGAUGUUUCCAAUUACUCUUCCCUCAUUUUUCAAAUCGCAGCUCAGUGUCACCUCCUCUGGAUGUUUGCCUGUAUUCAUGGACAAUACUCAAUUGCUGACUCCUCUUGGAUUUCCCAGCAUGUGUUUAAACCUUUAAGAUGGCACCUAUUAUAUUGAUACUAUGUUUUUCUGCCCUGUAUUCUGAGAACAGCAAAUAUUGGUGAAUUUGUAACUAUGUCUUAUUUUUCCUUAUAAUCUCUGUGUCUAUCAUAGGCUUUGGCAUGUAAUAGGUUCUUGGUAAACCUAUUUAUCUAGUUGAUUAAAUAAAUAAGUUGUAUUAUUUGUACUUGUUGUAUAAGUUAUAUAAUAUAUGUGUUCAAAGAUACAGUCACAGUAAGAGCCAGAGAGGACAGGAUCAGAAUGGAUUCAGAUUUCACCACAAGUGAAGAUACUCUAGUCAAAUUAUGAAGACAAUCAGAAAAUUAAAAGAUUUCUUUGCCCAUUUUCAAUUGCCUUUUGCAAAGGGAAAGCUCGUGCCAAGACAC